UAGAACAGGAAUGAGUUAAUGCCAGCCGAAGGGGUUAAGGAGAAGAAGAAAAGCUUUUUAUAUAUGUUAAGAGCCUGAAAAAUACCAGAGAGAAAGUUGUUCCAUUAAUAAACAAGGAGGGAAAGUAAAUCAAUGGUAGUUUUAAAUUGGGUAAACUACUGAACUGCUGUAUAAAACCUGUUAGACAAGAAAAAUAUGGAAAAAGGAAUGGAUAAUUAAGAAGCAAUGACGACUUUGUCAAAGCUAUUGAUGAAAAGCAGCAGUGAUGAAUUAUGACAGAUCUUCUGAAGUAAAUUGGAAACAUGGCUGAAGUCAAGAGAGCAACACCAAUUUACAUCAGCAGAGGAUUUGACCCAUAUUUUCAUCUUUCUGAUAACACUUUACCUGGGCAGGAGUAGAUGCCUGAAGAUGGAAUUAGAGAGAUGAAAUAUAAUCUCUCAGGAAGACAGGGAGGGAUGAUUACCUAUUCCAGGUGCACUGGGCUUGUCUCCAAGGUGAGCUCUGGUAGUGCAAAUGGAUAGCAGAUAGCAAAUGUUACAGGCAGUGGAGAGAAGAAUCAGGAUCUGAAGAAAGCCAGAACUCAGGAACAAGGAAUUUUGCAAACUUGUCUGAGAGAGGAUGACAAGGAUGAUGAUUGUGUAGGUGUCCUCUUCAAAAUCUUGUGUAUACAUGUAGGAGUUCCAGAGAAACUCUGUGAAAAGAACAUUUUCUGUGCUGCUUCUAGACUUCCACUUUGGGUUCCCCACUGCUCUGCUUCAGGGAGCAUAAAGAUGCUCUAGCAAAGCAUUAUUUAAUCAGGCAUAAAAAUACCCA